GAUGGGCAUUUCAUGUCUUUUGUAUUAAAGAAUUAAAUGGAUGAAAUAUGAAAUUUUAUUAAAAGAAAAAGGGGUGAAAAGAACAAAGUUUUGUCCAUCUUUGUUCAUCAUAGCCUAAAGUUAGAGAAGAGAAAGGAGAGGAGAAAGCUCUUAAAUGUUCGGUCACUUGGGGAAGAAAAUUGAAGGCAGUUCGUGUGUGGAUCUCGUCAGCAUAUGGUCGCAAACAGGAAAUCCCCAACCAUAGUGGGCUUGGAGCUGUGAGGGAAUUCGGAGUGGCCACCCGUUCUGAAAGUUUGAUUUUCUUCUGGAGAACUGGACAUCCUUUUAUUUACGUUUGAAGUUUUGGGUUUUUAAAUGUAAUAAGGCCGCUUAAUUAUUUUUGAUGGUUUUAAUAUGCAUUACUAAGAUAGGUAUUACUUAUUUUAA